GAUGAACGCUAGCUACAGGCUUAACACAUGCAAGUCGAGGGGUAACGAGAGGAAAGCUUGCUUUCCUUGUCGACGACCGGCGCACGGGUGAGUAACGCGUAUCCAACCUGCCCCCAACUAGGGAAUAACCUUGCGAAAGUAAGACUAAUACCCUAUAAUUUCCUCAGAUGUCAUCUGACGAGGAAUAAAGAUUUAUCGGUUGUGGAUGGGGAUGCGUCUGAUUAGCUUGUUGGCGGGGUAACGGCCCACCAAGGCAACGAUCAGUAGGGGUUCUGAGAGGAAGGUCCCCAACAUUGGAACUGGGACACGGUCCAAACUCCUACGGGAGGCAGCAGUGAGGAAUAUUGGUCAAUGGGCGGAAGCCUGAACCAGCCAAGUAGCGUGCAGGAUGACGGCCCUAUGGGUUGUAAACUGCUUUUAUACAGGAAUAAAGUUAGCCACGUGUGGUUAUUUGUAGGUACCGUAUGAAUAAGGACCGGCUAAUUCCGUGCCAGCCGCCGCCGUAA
rnacentral:rRNA from 1 species